rnacentral:rRNA from 1 species
GGGCGCAWKYYUNGAUGCAGMRMCGCCGCGUGAGGGAUGGAGGCCUUCGGGUUGUAAACCUCUUUUAUCGGGGNAGCAAGCGAGAGUGAGUUUACCCGUUGAAUAAGCACCGGCUAACUACGUGCCAGCAGCCGCGGUAAUACGUAGGGUGCAAGCGUUAUCCGGAAUUAUUGGGCGUAAAGGGCUCGUAGGCGGUUCGUCGCGUCCGGUGUGAAAKUYYWUYGCUUAACGGUGGAUCCGCGCCGGGUACGGGCGGGCUUGAGUGCGGUAGGGGAGACUGGAAUUCCCGGUGUAACGGUGGAAUGUGUAGAUAUCGGGAAGAACACC